rnacentral:lncRNA from 1 species
ACAGGACCAACAGCAUAGCCGGGGCAGGAACGUGGCCCUAGAGGCGAUCGGCCUGGCCACUCACUAGCUGUGUGACCUCAAGUGACCUGGCUUCUCCAGCUUUAGUCCCUGGGCUGUAAAAGGACUAAGUCAGAGGACACUUCUCGUGGCUGAAGAGGGAAGGGAAGACGCGGGAAGUCUCGGGAAUCGCUGCCCGCUGCGGGAAGCAGAAAGCCCUCGGCGGCCGCGCCACGCCAGACCUCGACUCUCGGAGGAGCGGCGCUCUGACCAAGCCCGAGGGUGGAGGGCGGGCGCACGCUCUGGGGCCCCGCGGCGAUGGGCGCAGGGAGCUCCGCCUGCCGACAUUUUUAACGUCGGGAUUUACAGCUAACUGGAAGCCAAUUAACUCUUGGGGGAUAGGCGGCGCUCAGGGCUGCGGGGACGCGGGAGGUGAAGUCUCGCCAGGCCCUCGACUUGGGUCCCUGCCAGCUGCACCCGGCCGGAAGUGCGCACCACAGAGAGGCAGGCCGGCCCCGGAGCGCCUAGAGCGGCACCGGAAGCUCUCCGGGCGGGCCCUCGGGCCGAUUUCCGGCCGCGGCGUGCGGGCUCCUGUGCAGGCUUUGUCGGCCGGUCUGCGGGGCGGACGCCUGGCAGUCCGCGUGCGGGUUGCCGGCGUCCUCUCGCCGUUGGGCGCCGGAUGCUGACUGGUGACCAGAAGGGGACUCGGAGCCUGGGUUUCUGGGCGUGGGAAUCUGCAGAAGGCAGUGUCUGAAGCCCUCCCAGUGAUGGAGCUCACUGCCCCCACGUCUGGGAGGGGCCCUGACCCCAGACUCGGGAGGCUUUUAGGAAACCUGGAUGCACAGAGCCUGCGGAGCUGCACCUCACAGGAAGGGGGUUUCCAGCAGGUGACGGUCACCCACUGGAAGAUCCAAACGGCAGAGGCAGCACAGGCGGGGAGUAAGUCUGAGGGGAGCCCUCUCCUGAGCCCAGACCUCCUCCUGCUUCAGAGAGAGUUGAUCGAGGGGGAGGCCCCCCAGCACGAGGCCUGUGGCAGCUUCCCGUUCAACCCGGUCCUGGCCAGACAUCAAGCUUCUCAUGCUGGGGAGAAAGCUCACAGGUGUGACGAGUGCGGGAAAGGCUUCAGCCAGAGCUCCCACCUGGUGGAGCAUCAGCAUGCUCAUGGUGGGGAGAGGCUGUACGUGUGUAACGCGUGUGGCAAGGACUUCGUUCUCUACACGGAUCUCCUGGAGCAUCAGAAAGUACACACGGGAGAAAGGCCCUUCAAGUGCGCUCAGUGUGGGAAGGCAUUCUGUCACAGCUCAGACCUGAUCCGCCACCAGCGGGUCCACACCCGAGAGAGGCCCUUUGAGUGCAAGGAGUGCGGGAAGGGCUUCAGCCAGAGCUCAUUGCUUAUCCGGCACCAGAGGAUCCACACAGGGGAGCGGCCGUACGAGUGCAACGAGUGCGGCAAGGCCUUCAUCCGGAGCUCCAGCCUCAUCCGGCACUUCCAGGUCCACACGGAGGUGAGGCAGUACGAGUGCCAGGACUGUGGCAAGGCCUUCCGCCACCGCUCAGACCUCAUCGAGCACCAGAGGAUCCACACUGGGGAGCGGCCCUUCGAGUGCAACGAGUGCGGCAAGGCCUUCAUCCGGAGCUCGAAGCUCAUCCAGCACCAGCGCAUUCACACCGGGGAGCGGCCAUACGUCUGCAACGAGUGUGGGAAGCGCUUCAGCCAGACGUCCAACUUCACGCAGCACCAGAGGAUCCACACCGGGGAGAAGCUCUAUGAGUGCAACGAGUGUGGGAAGGCCUUCUUCCUGAGUUCCUACCUUAUUCGACACCAGAAGAUCCACACCGGGGAGAGGGUGUACGAGUGCAAGGAGUGUGGGAAAGCCUUUCUCCAGAAAGCACACCUCACCGAGCACCAGAAGAUCCACUCUGGGGACAGGCCCUUCGAGUGCAAGGACUGCGGGAAAGCCUUUAUUCAGAGCUCCAAGCUCCUCUUGCACCAGAUUAUUCACACUGGAGAGAAACCCUACGUGUGCAGUUAUUGUGGGAAAGGCUUCAUUCAGAGGUCAAACUUCCUUCAGCACCAGAAGAUCCACACUGAAGAGAAACUCUACGAGUGUAGUCAGUAUGGGAAAGAGUUCACCCCACCCCCAGACUUUAAAAGCAGUCAAGAGGCUCCCCAGGAGGGCCUUCCCUUGAGUCAGACAGCCGUUCACUUCGGGGAGACGUGUGGAGGCCUGGGGGGGCACACAGACUUCUAAUUAUCCUCUGGCUCACUUAGUGAUGCUGGAAACAGUGGCAGGGGCCCUGACUCAUGAGGCUUUGGAGGAGUCAGCAUUUUCUAGGGUCAUGGAUGGGCAGGGCUGCCACCUCUCACUUGGUCGCAGUGGGGCCUGCUGUCCUCCGUUGGGAGAACAUGCUUGCAGAAGAGCCACACAAUUGGACAGCUGACAUGGAGCUGGACCAGUUAUGGGAGAGCUGUGGGUGUGGGAGGGAGGAGCUUGGCCUCAGGAGGCGAAGAUUCUAUUCCACUGCACAAUAACAAUUCACCCUUCAGUUAAAUCCCUUUUAAAGCAGAGUUAUGUAUCUAAUUGUAUAACUUUAAAAGAGUGUUCCUCAGCCAUUUUUGAUCUGUCAGAAAGGCAAGCUAGAGAAAGAUACUUUCUUACCUAAAACCACAACUUGGUUCUCUGUGGUCCUUAGGAAAAAUUCCGAACUCCCCGCCCUGCAUCCAAAGGCUUUCUGGAGGUUCAUCUGCCCCCAGUUCACUCCAGGUCACAGAGGUAGCACCAACUGCUAGACAUGCCCCCUCAUCUGGGCGCUCCUGCCUCCCAGCCAAGGACCAAGUUCUCCCUCUCAUCUGGCUCAUGACCAGUCAUGAGUCAAGACCCAUCCCAAGCUGCGUGUUGGGCUCAGCCUGCUACCCCUCUGCUGCUUCUGAUCCUCGGUAGCCAUUUGCCUCUUAUUACUGUGCUUGCUCUGAUUGUUGUCUGUGCUGUCUCGUUGUUAAGGACUGUGAGUGUAUCUCACUGAUUUGUGUGUCCCUGGAAUCUGGAGGAGGGCAAUAAAAAGCACAGCCAAGUGUGCACUUGGCACUUCUCUUGCUUUGUCCUCUCUACACUGUUAUUUAAAACAUUAAAAAAAAAUUUUUUUUUUUUGGUCAUUGCUUUUUUGUUUUGUGACAGUGUAGUCUGCUGGUCUACUGGAAAUACCUCCUCUUGGCCUUGCUGACGUCUCUGUUCAUAAUGCCUUCGACACUUGCAGGCAGUAGCCAGAGUGAGACUGGCCUCUUGUAUGUUUUGCCUCCAGAGUUUGUCUGUGAAUGACUGUCCGCUCACUUGGGGGGCUGCAGGGGGGCGGGGGGCGCUCAUCUUCACCUAGUAUUCUGUGUAUCUCUAAUUCACUCAGAGGGCACACAGUCCUGAUACACUUCAUGACUUUCUUCUGUCCUAAUAAUUCCAUGAUUGAGCCCAACUUCUUCCCCCUCUCCCUGUUCUCCAGCUCACUUCGUCACUGAUGUGAAAAUGUAUUGAUCAAAGGACCAGUGCUAAAUCCUUGGAAACCAGGGUGAAUAAGACACCAUCUGUCCUGAAGUGAUCCAUAGUCUGAUGGGGCAGGCAAAAAGGUCAUGGCAGGCUGAGUUCAGUGUUGGAGUUGAGGUAUGUUUCCAAUUGUGCAGGGGUGUAGGUCAGGAGGCAGCUAGUUUUGUGUGGAGAUGUAAGGCGGCUUCAAGGAGGAGGUGACAGUGAACUGGACAAGUAGACACUUGUCACCUAGAGAAGAGGGUGGUCUGGGAGGGACUCUGGAGAAACAGGAGGCCUGGAGGAUCCCUCUCUGAUCUACAGCAGGUGAGUUAUAUCACACAGUGGAUAACUGUCUAGCAGAACUGUUAGUUGUUGCAUCUGAAUUUCUUUUAUCGGAACAUGAACCGGUUUUGAAAUGCUGUCAGAAUGUACUGCCCAUGAGGGCAUAUCUUGAGUUCCUGAAUUCCAGCAACUCUAGAAGUCUUGAGUGAGUAGCAUAUAGUACUCCAUUGUUGGAAAACUCACCCGUAACAGAUGUUUCAAAUGGUAUAGAAACAUAUUACCAGACCAUUUAAACCAACUUUGGUUGAGGUCUAGUUGCCAUAUAGUAACACACCCAUUUUAAGUGUACAGAAUUUUGGCAAAUCCAUAUACAUGUGUAACCAUCAUCACAAGAAAAACAACACUUCUGUCACCCAAAAAAUGUUCCAUUUUGCCCUUUCCCAGGUCCCACUCCAGGCCCAAGUAAACACUUUGUUAGUAUGUAUUCAUUCUGCCUGUUGCAGGACUUCACAUAAAUGGAUUCAUAUGGCAUGUAAUCCUGUGUGUCUGACUUCUUCCACUUUGCCAUGUUUUAAAGACUAAACCAAGUAGCUCUGUAUUUCCAGAGCUGUUCGUCAGUAGUGUUCCAUUGUAUGGGUGAAGGUGAACAUCAUUUAUUAUUCAUCUGUUGGUAGAAAUUUGGGUUUCCAGUUUUGGCUGUUAUGAAUAAAACAGUUAUCAGCAUUUGUGU